rnacentral:lncRNA from 1 species
CGAGUUUUAUUUGUAGCCAAUUAAUAUUUUCUACCUGGUUAAUUGAUUGGUUUGGGUAAAGCCCAAUUAGGUUCCCCCGUGGGCUGGUAGAGCCUGAUUAGGCACCCUUGCGUCCUUGGCCUUUCUACCCUUCUUUUUUUUCACGUUUUCUUUUUUUAAAAAAUCUCUAGACUCAUUAACUAGCAUUGUUACAACAUUUUCAUUACUUAGCAUUAUUUCUUACUGCUAUACAGGGUCGUUUGGUGUGGCAGAAGCAUUUUUUAUCACCUUCGAAAAAGCUCAGUGUAGUACUGACCUGUAACACCCUAGGUGUUAAGCAAGCACUUAGUCUCAUCAAAGUCAUGCAUAAGCACUCUCAUCAAUCAUAAGCAUC